rnacentral:rRNA from 1 species
GAUGAACGCUGGCGGCGUGCCUAAUACAUGCAAGUCGAGCGAACAGACGAGGAGCUUGCUCCUCUGACGUUAGCGGCGGACGGGUGAGUAACACGUGGAUAACCUACCUAUAAGACUGGGAUAACUUCGGGAAACGGGAGCAAAUACCGGAGAAUAUCUUGAACCGCAUGGUUCAUUAGUAAAAGACGGCUUUGCUGUCACUAAUCGAUGGUUCCGCGCCGCUUUAGCGAGUUGGUAAGGUAACGGCUUACCAAGGGAACGAUGCGUGGCCGACCGGAGGGGGGGAUCGGCCACACUGGAGCUGAGACGCGGUCCAGGCUCCUACGGGAGGCAGCGGUAGGGAAUCUUCCGCGAUGGGCGAAAGCCUGACGGAGCAGCGGCGCGUGGGUGAUGAAGGGCUGCGGAUCGUAAAACGCUGUUAUUAGGGAAGAACAAAUGUGUAAGUAACGAUGCACGUCUUGACGGUACCGAAUCAGAAAGCCACGGCAAACUACGU